rnacentral:misc_RNA from 1 species
GAAAUGCGAUAAGUAAUGUGAAUUGCAGAAUUCAGUGAAUCAUCGAAUCUUUGAACGCACAUUGCGCCCCUUGGUAUUCCGGGGGGCAUGCCUGUUCGAGCGUCAUUACAACCCUCAAGCUCUGCUUGGUCUUGGGCGUCACCGGUCCCCGGUGUGCCUUAAAAUCAGUGGCGGCGCCAUCUGGCUCUAAGCGUAGUACAUACUCUCGCUACAGACGUCCGGUGGAUGCUGGCCAGCAACCCCCAAUUUAUCAAGGUUGACCUCGGAUCAGGUAGGGAUACCCGCUGAACUUAA